CACGUAGGGUGCGAGCGUUGUCCGGAAUUAUUGGGCGUAAAGAGCGUGUAGGCGGUCCGGUAAGUCGGCUGUGAAAGUCCAGGGCUCAACCCUGGGAUGCCGGUCGAUACUGCCGGACUAGAGUUCGGAAGAGGCGAGUGGAAUUCCCGGUGUAGCGGUGAAAUGCGCAGAUAUCGGGAGGAACACCGGUGGCGAAGGCGGCAUCCUGGACCAACACUGACACUGAGGAGCGAAAGCCAGGGGAGCAAACGGG
rnacentral:rRNA from 1 species